rnacentral:rRNA from 1 species
AUUGAACGCUGGCGGAAUGCUUUACACAUGCAAGUCGAACGGCAGCACGGGUGCUUGCACCUGGUGGCGAGUGGCGAACGGGUGAGUGAUAUAUCGGAACGUAUCCAAUAAUGGGGGAUAACUAGCCGAAAGGUUAGCUAAUACCGCAUACGCCCUGAGGGGGAAAGCUGGGGAUCGUAAGACCUAGCGUUGAGGGAGCGGCCGAUAUCUGAUUAGCUAGUUGGUGGGGUAAGAGCCUACCAAGGCGACGAUCAGUAGCUGGUCUGAGAGGACGACCAGCCACACUGGAACUGAGACACGGUCCAGACUCCUACGGGAGGCAGCAGUGGGGAAUUUUGGACAAUGGGGGCAACCCUGAUCCAGCCAUUCCGCGUGAGUGAAGAAGGCCUUCGGGUUGUAAAGCUCUUUCGCAAGGGAAGAAAACUCGAUCUCUAAUAUAGGUUGAGGCUGACGGUACCUUGAUAAGAAGCACCGGCUAACUACGUGCCAGCCGCCGCAGUAA